GCAACUGUAAUCUACAAAAACUGGAAUAAAAACAUUUCUAAGAUCAGUGAUAGUGCAAAUGGCAUGUUUCCUUGUUUUAUGUUCCCAUAAUAUUAAAACUAAUUUGUAUUAUUAUGUUACUCUAAGCAAUAUACUCCUAUGUCAGACCCGAGUGGUCUGAAUAACUAAAUUCAGUUAAGCACUCACUGAAUCAACAAAUCUUACGGAAACUUGAGCUCGAUUGCGAGAGAUUUAGUGUGAGUUCAGAUACACCUAAGGGCCAACCAGGAACGCUAGCGGCUAGGGUUUACCCCUUACAAAACAGAAUGCCCUCAAAGGCUCUGUAGACCUUUGCCGGAAAGUGAACAGCGACUCGGGUGCUCCUCAGCCGUCCAAUGAAGGAUCAACACCGUAUCACUGUUCUCCUGCGAAGUGGUAUGCAGGAGCGAAGUGUUGGAUGAUAGAUGGACGGCCCGUAGUGCUUCGCGCCAACUGGUAUCGAUUCAAACUUAUCUGAAACAGAUUAAAGGUGUCGAUUUCUUCAGAGAUAAAACAGCCCAGGUCCUGACAUAUAUGCAUGCAUUCCUAUGAAUCCAUCCCAUUCAGUGGUUUUGAUGUAUAAUUAUGGCUCUGAACUGACCAAAAUGGAUGAUCUGAAUAUGCACUUCAUAAUCAGAACCAAAGAAUAACACAAUGAAUUCAUGGUUCAAAAGCACCCCAUAACAGCAUUGGCCAUCGUCUAUAACAUUUUUUGAAAUCAUAAAAAUAUGCUAGUAAAACAACAUUGCUCCCCAGCCUGUAGAAAGCACACAAGAAUUUGCACUUCCAACCUAAUAAGUACCAACAGAUAUCAAAGAAAUAUAGAUAUGCACCAACAUUGACCACUCCUUUCAUGAACUCGAUCGCCUGUCCUGCUAUCCAUCCUUCAACAGUACUCCCUCCGUCCCAUAAUGUAAGACGUUUUUUUUUUACACUAGUGUAGCGUCAAAAAAACGUCUUACAUUGUGGGACGGAGGGAGUACAUCUGAUAGACUCACUUUCACUUGAUAAAUUGCACAUCCUUUGUCUAGAAUAAAGUGCAGCCCCGGAGCCCCCGAUACAAGUAAUUCACUCAAGUGAAGGAUUGAAUACAAAAUUGACAUCGCAUUGUCUACGGAUGUUAAAAACAUAAGAAACGGUCAGCAUACCCACAUUGUAUAGUGCUCAAGCUCAAACAGUCUUAAAGUUGAACACUGAAACAUCUAUUUUGGCUUUCCAGUUUAUGGAAGGAUAAGCAAUGAGAGAUCAAGCAGACUUUUAAACAUCUACUCCCUCCAUUCCAUAUUAGUUGUCGCUGAUUUAGUAACUUUAUACUAAAUCAGCGACAACUAAUAUGGAACGGAGGGGAUAUCAUUUUAUUUUUCGAAGGACAAAAAAGAUUGGACACCAUUUUACUGUACUGAACUACAACUAAAUGCAAAACAUUUCACUGCACCAUGGGAAAAGAUGGGACAUGCACGGUAUCACCCACCAUUUACAUGUAGCCUGUGUUCCGCUGCACCAAAUAUACAUAUGCCAACUGGCAUCGACACAAAAAUAGCAAUACCUUAUUUUACUCUUUUUUUACCUUCUACUUCUACUUGAUACAUGUGUGUGUAAUCUGUCCAGCCUAACCACUUGCAAAGACCAUAAAUCAAAGUCUAAUCACACGUAAUCAAUUGUUUCGUAAAGCAGUAUAGCAUAAAUUGAAGGGAUAAUAUAAGGUAUUUAAGAAUAUCAUGAGAUCAAUAGAAUAAAUAUUUUACUUAACGUCUUUGAAUUCUUGUAUUUAAGGAAACGGAAAGAUUUGUUUCAGCUUAUCCUUGUUAUCAGAUGUAUAGGCAUAUCUGAUGGAUCUAAUAUCUAUAGUCCAGGGAUAUAAAAAGUAGCUGAUUCAAUAUUUAUUGACCCAGAGUGUGCUUGACUGAAAAUAGUACAAUGCAUGUUAAUCAACUAAAUGGCAACUAUAGAGACAGAAAUGUGGCUAAGAUGCAACCUUGAUGCCCGCCAUCAGUUCAUCAGUAUCAACCUCAUCACGAGCAAGCCAUCUGGAAAAAAAAAUAGUUCCCCUCACAAAAAUCCGAGUUUGCCUCCAUCUUAUGCAUAAAUAGCCAAUGGCUCCAACAACAAUAGCAGUUAAACAGUAGGCUACAGAGUCUGCAAGAGAAUAAUUUUGCUUCGGUAGUUAUGUAAGAAAACUAACAAGUGUUUGCUGAACUUAGCUAGAUGAAGUACAAAAUAUAGAUUACAGGCAAACCUGCACACAUCUGCUAAGCUACAGGGCCUGCAUUGCUUCAGCGCGCCUUUGUGCGCCUCCUGGGUGGUCAGGUGUGCCCUUUUGUGUGAAAAGCGCACCUAUGCCCUGCAACACAUGUAUACAAAAAUAAGCUAUUCACACAAACAAUGGGGGCAAGUAGCACACAAUCCUAGACGGCGCACAUAGUAACUGCAAAUACUAUAUUAUACGGUAGCAUACUUUCUUAGCAAAUCGAACAAGGGAGUUUUUGCCAUUCUCGAAAUGUCAUAAAGGUUGAUGCUUCGAGGCAUGUAUUACAUGGCAUCAGAUAGUGCCUGAUGUAGCCACAAUGGAAAUACAGUGCUAUAAAGUAGCAAAUAAUCUUAGGAAACGUUUCCGAUGCUCUACAAACAUCAAAGGGGUUGGUGUCCUUGGGCAUAUAUUAAGGCAGGAAGGAUUUCACUUCCGAUCCAUGGAGCAGAAGGCCCGAUGCACGGAUGCAGGGUAGGCAUCAUCAUGACAUCAUCCUAGUAGUUAACUGGUCAAUCCAAAAUAAGAGCUCUGGUGCAAAGCAAAGCAAAACUGCAUUCACAACACCGUCGAAAAAUAAGAAGCAACACACUGCAAAGAGGGAACCACAUGACAAACUGCUAGACCAUGCCUGUGGCACACGGUCCACUUCCCUUUCCUGGCAAUCAGUGAUUUCUUAGUACGGAAAGCUGGAAUAAUCGCGGCAUGAGCUGGACAGCUCCUCCAUCAGUGUCUUGCUGUUUAUGACCAGAGGCAAUUAGACACAAUUCGGAAGGAAGAAGGAUGCUCACCGGCGUCCACACUAAUGUUGUCUCUUGGGCUGCGGAAAAGAAACAUCUUUUUGAAGAUGACGUGGGGUAAAAUAUACUGAUAUGACAUAUUAUUUCAAUUCAGACAAAACACUAUUACAAGCAUUACUUGGAGAAGGAAUGAAACAACAUCAAAGAAAAUCAGAGAGGGCCAUGAUGCAGAUGAGCUGUAAUGUUAAUUCCUUGCCGCAGUUUAAAUAACCUGAUAGGACGAAUAAAAUCACUUUAAUUGGUGUGACCAACAACUAUUGCCAUACUAAACCAAGACUAAUUUUUAAUACUCCCUCCAUCCCAUAAUAUAAGAUGUUAUUACAACCAAUAUGUGGGUACAUUGGUUGUAAUAACGUCUUAUAUUAUGGGACGGAGGGAGUAGCAUUUAGCCUUGCCCAAAAUUGCAUAUUUGAUUGUUACUAUGUUUGGUACAAUCUAGAUGACAUGAAAACAACUACAUUUAGUACAGAAACUUGUAUUCAGUCGCAGUGAUAUUUUUGAUGAAUGGAUAAUAUUUUCAGGCAUUCACUAGGGUACAAAUAUGCAGCGGGUAUGUUGAGUUACCAACUUCAAUAUGCUGUGGUUAACAAAUAGCACACGUAUCCUCGUUAAGAUUAUCAGUUUCAUGCACGAAAAUCUGUGGCUUACACAUAAACAAUUCUAAAAACCAUAAGAUCAGAGUUCCUCGAUUGAUUUGCUCCCCUGAACUCAACAGAGCAACCAUGGUCACUGACUCACCAUCUCCGUGUCUUCCUGCUUGCAAGGAGGCCAUUCACUAUGGUUAAUUAUGGAAAUUAAGCAAGCCAUCCAGAAAAUUUUAGGAACUCAGUGACAUCAGAUUCAUGGACAGGUAGACCAGAAAUUAUACUGACCUGCAUAUGCGGCACUCUCCUGAGCCAAAUCUUGGAUUAACAAAUUGAUGGACCUACACAAGCAGCACAUUAUCAAUUCAGGUGAGAACAUGAUUCUUUUAUAAGACAAGACAGAUUUACAAUCCCCUCUUCCAUUUGCAAAAAUAUUCAUGAGCAUAAGAACAAAUUCACAACUAACAUCUCAAAUCGAGAUUAAUCCAUCAAACAGUCCAAAAAUAUAUAAAUAGUGGAGUUGCUAAUUGCCUACCUGGAUGUUGUGCACGAGAAGAAGACGACGAGCAAGGUCGCAUGGGAGCUUGCAGCUUCUAGCGAGCAGCACGAGACGCCGUGGUGGUCCUCACCACGCCGUUCCCCCUUCUCCUGCCACUUACGCAUCCUCACCGCGCUAGCCGGCCUCCCUUCGUGCUCUACCACACAUCCGCCCCGUGACACCACGAAUCGCGGACGCCGCAGCCGAGCGGGGCGCGGAUGGAUGGGGAAAUGGAGGCGGUGACGACGAGAUGAGGACCUUGGGAGGCGGUGGAUCUCAUCGGUAGGGGCGGCGGCCACCAACGGGAUUUCAUGCGAUGACAAUGACCUCGGGAAGCGUCAGAGGAGCUCGGAGCGGAGAAGAGGCAGAUACGAGGGAGGGAGGAGUUGGAGCGGAGGCUCGCAAGGGAGAAUGACUUGGGGUGGAGGAGGAGGGAGGAGUGUAGCGGCUGUGGAUUGGGGGCUAGGGUUCAUGCGGUUGUGCUCAAUGGGCUUUCCAGGAGGAAUAACCAAUCACACCCUCACAUGGCCGCACCCACCCAUCUUCACAUGACCCCACCUAGGAAGAGGCCCACCAGUCAUACUCACGUAAAAAAAGUGAAAACAGCAGUCAAAAUCGGACGGCCAAGGGGAGCCAAGGUGGGAAAUCUACUCGGAUCCAACGACCAGGAAUCGCCCAAUCUGGAGGAGCGCCAUGGAGGCGGGUUGGCUGGCAGCCUUUAAAAAAAUUAGAUAGAUCGGAUUCGUUCCUUUAUAGCAUACGCGAACUUCAAUUAUUUUGCCAUUGAUGAAUAUACAUAAUGUACUUUAAUUUCCUA
rnacentral:lncRNA from 1 species